UACGUAGGGUGCGAGCGUUGUCCGGAAUUAUUGGGCGUAAAGAGCUCGUAGGCGGUCUGUCGCGUCUGCUGUGAAAACGCGCGGCUCAACCUCGCGCCUGCAGUGGGUACGGGCAGACUAGAGUGCGGUAGGGGAGAGUGGAAUUCCUGGUGUAGCGGUGGAAUGCGCAGAUAUCAGGAGGAACACCGAUGGCGAAGGCAGAUCUGGGGGCCGUAACUGACGCUGAGGAGCGAAAGCGUGGGGAGCGAACAGG
rnacentral:rRNA from 1 species